UGGACUCCGGCAGCUGCUCUCUGCCGCCCGCGGGGGGCUCGGGGCGGGCGGUUUUACACAAACCGGGGAGGUAAGAGGCGUAUUUCUCUCCCCCCUCGCCCUCGUCCGUGGCCGGGAGCGCCCCCCCGCCCCCCCCGCCCGGCCCGGGGGUCGCGGCUGCCCCGCGCUGCUCCGCCCGGCCCCGGCCGCUGUCGGAGCCCCGGGGGGGCGGGCUGCGGGGGGCCGGGGCCGGCGGCGGGGAGGGGACCGGGGGUGCCGUGCCCCUCGGCUGCCCGGAGCGAAGGGCCCAUCCCAGGGCAGCGCCCGCUCCUGCCGUCUCACAAGCCCCCGGGCUUCCAGCCUGCGACAGAAACGGGCUGAACGCCCUAAAGCUGCCUUCGGAGGGGAUCGUCGUCCUCCCCGCUCUGCAUUAAAGCUGGCUUCAGCCUCGCUUAGUCCAGCCUGAGCCUCACUGAGCACUCCUGCUCACCGGUGUAAGACAACCUGAGAGCUGUGAUGGCCGUACCUUCUUGCUUGUUCACUGCGGAAAGGGAAAUCGGAUCGAACUUGUUGUUACGACGGCAAAGGUCCAGAGAACGGCUUAAAGAUGUAAAACAAGUCCUGAACGAACUUUCCCAAACCUGCUGUUGCUGUUCCAGAAACGAGCUUCUGCGGGCUCCUUCUGUCCCUCAGAUAUGCUGACCAGGGAGUUCGGAAGCGCCUGGUCCUUCUCGUUCACCCUCCUUUAUUCCGGGUCCCUCUCUGCACAGAGGCAGCGCUGCAGAGGCUCUCUCUGCCCAGAUUUCACUCUUUGCACAUUCCGGGUUUAUUUUGACUCUGCGUGUGCUGGUUUGUGCCCUGCUCUGCCCAGAUAUCACAUACAGGACCUGAUCACUUCAUUUGGGAUUUUACCUGAGAGAUCAGGUACGUGCUGUUUGAAUCACUGUUGGUGCCUCAGUCUCUCCCUGGGUCUGGCUCCUCAAGCUCUGGUGCCAGAUAAAUACGCUGUGAUGCAGGGAGCUCAUCUGAUUUUCCUGAAGCUGGGGAUUAAGUUCCUUCAACUUCAGUGGAAACAGUUCAGAGAUGGUAUUUACUGCUGAGGAAGCACAAAGAAUCAGCCUACAUUUUCUUCUUGAUAUGCCAAGUAGUGUCCUAACAGCAGACGGCCACGCCGAGGGGUGGUGGAGGGAGGCAGGAGGUCGGUGCCCAGCGGGAGUGCGGCCGGAGCCGGGGGUGCAGCUCUCUCCUCCGGUCUCACCGGCCACAAGCGCGGUCACCGCCGGCUUCUCUGCCCCCCCUCCCCGCAGAGCCAAGGCACGGGCCGGUUUGGGCUGCAGCCGGGAACUGCAGAGAGAGUUUUACUGGCUGUUGCUCUCCAACGGUAAGGUUUGCAUUGCUGAGCCCGGGACACUGCGCCCCGCAGGAGGCACCGCUCGCUUUUCCUGUGCAUUGUGCUGCUAAAAGGCUUCGUGGGCAGCUGCGUCCUGCCGAGCUGCCAAGCAACUCUGGUGGGAAGCGGCACCAGGAGAAGCCUGGCAGCGGGGUGCAGCCCCUCACGGGCAGCCCGCCUGGCCGCCGUGUCCCCCCCCCCCCCGCGCCCUCCAGCCCUGCCGCGGGGCCGGGGGCUGCCAGCCCUGCCCGGGGCUCUGGCUCUGCGGGGGCUGUGCCGGGUCACCCUCACCCUCUCAGAGUACCAAAACGCAGCCCCCCGCUCCCUCGUGCCCUGUCGAUCUCUCCGAGUGCGUGAGGAUCGGGACUCUCAGUUUUCUUGGGCGCCCGGAGCUCCUCGUCCUGGUCAGCGGGGCUGCGGGACCUGCCCUGGGACAUGUAAUUCCUCAACGUGUCGUCCUACCCCCUGCAGGGACUGCACACAAGAGAUGAAAGCACAGAAAACCAAACAAGCCAUUGGCGGUGCUCACUCAAUUGAUUUUUACACAAGAUUUGCCUUCAUGCACGAAGGAUGGAAAAAUGAUCCCAUUAAUAAUGAAUAACAAAAACAAAUGCAGGGAGGAAAUCAAUAGAAGCACAUCUGAU